AGGGAAGGCAUCGGGCUUAUUGAGGCUACUGCACGAGCUCGUGGAAAUGUGCUGUAUGAUGCUAACCUUGGUGAGCCAACAGGUCAAAUUCUUGUGAUGUAUGGUCACAACAAAAAUCUUGCCGGAAAGCUGAGUCCAAUUGAUCAGAAGAUCCUGUACAGGUUCAAUCUGUCUAUGAAGAGAUGAUAUUGUGUGGAUGGAACCAGAUAGAUAGGCUAGAUCGAUGUUACUGUUGGCCGCUGAAGCACAUGAAGCGGAUGCUGAGAUGAUACUUAUUGCAAAUUAAUCUCCUAGCAAAGCAGAUGACGUGUGACGGUAUUGAACAUAUUUGGUAAUUUUGACUGGGUUAGUCUUCCUUACUUUUAACAUGAGUAUAUUAUCAUAUCUGAAUAUGUUAUGUGGUCUACAAAUGUUGUUUCAAGCUUUCAGAAUAGUCAAUUGGAUAAAGUGUGUUGGAAAUGUCCCAGCAAGUGAAAUUUAUGAUUUGCUCUGUGGCAAAUAUUCUGAGGAGAUCCAUGAAUUUAUCAAGGGGAUAGAUAUUGUCCAUAGGGAACAUGCUGCAAAACAGUAGGUUUGGAUAUCUAUUUUUAAUUUUUUUAUUCAUUUUCCUUAUUUUUAGCCUAAUGUUUAUUAUAUGUAUUGAAACUGGUGGCCUAUACAUAUUCUAGGGAUUGCCUCAAUUUAUUAUAUGUAUUGAAACUGGUGGCCUAUACAUAUUCUAGGGACUGCCUUAUCUUGAGGCAAUCAUUAUUUCAUGACGAUCAGAGAUAAAUUUUGAAGUUCGAUCCUCAUAAUUUCAGAGAAAAGUAGUAAAUAUAACUAUAUAAUCCAUAACACUUUAAAGUUCUUAAUGUCUAUUGUUUUUUGCCCGAUCCUUAAUUUUAUCAUCCUACUAGCUCAAUGGUAGAGCAUUGUGUAAAUACACAAAAGAUAUGGGUUCGAAUCCCACGUAGGCUCUCCUAUUAUGAAUAAUUAAUCAUGUGUUGGUGAUGAGAGUUAUGUAUAGGGAAUAAGCUUAGCUAAAGAGGUUAAGGGUAUGUUUGUUUCAACUUUCGAUUUAGUUUAACUUAUUUCAACAAAAAGUUCAUAUAAGUUCAAAUUUAGAUGUAUCUUUACUACCAUCUUCUGAAGUAUAUUAUGUAAACAUGUGGUAAACUAUGUUAGUAGCAAAGAAGAAACUGGCAUAUCUUUAGCAUAAAGAAAAACACUACACCAUUAACAUUU